GGGAGCCCGAGAAACGGCUACCACUUCCAAGGAAGGCAGCAGGCGCGCAACUUACCCUAAUCUCGAUUCGAGGAGGUAGUGACAAGAAAUACCGAUGCGGGACCCUACGGGUGCCGCGUUCGGAAUGAGUACGAUUCGAACCACCUAACGAGGAACGAUCGGAGGGCAAGUCUGGUGCCAGCAGCCGCGGUAAUUCCAGCUCCAAUAGCGUACGUUAAAGUUGCUGCAGUUAAAAAGCUCGUAGUUGAACGUUCGGGUUCCGCGGGACGGGGCCGCCCCGCGAGGGACGGCGCCGCCCCGGGGCUCGUGAUAUCUCAUCUCGCCGCCCCGUCGCGAGGCGGACGGAGGGAUGGAUGAGGUUACCUGGAAAAAAAUCGGGGCGAUCUAGGCGGGCGAACCUCGCCAACGAACGAUCGGACAUGGG
rnacentral:rRNA from 1 species